GGGUCGUGGCCAAGCCAGGCAUGGCGGCUGACUCCAGAUCAGUAGAUCGGGGGUUCAAAUCCCUCCGACCCCA
rnacentral:tRNA from 1 species